ACAAAUUUUAUUGGCUUUUUCAUAAUUGGAACGAUACAGAGAAGAUUAGUGUGGCUCCUGCACAAGGAUGACACGCAAAUUCAUGAAGCAUUCCGUAAAGGU